rnacentral:lncRNA from 1 species
UGGCUUGUAUAAUAUCAGCUUCGAAACUCAUAAACUAUUACGAAACUCAUAAACUGUGUCCAUCCAGUUGUUUUCAAUACACCUCUCUCUCUCUAAACGCGGACUUUCUUCUCCGACUGCUCCGGCGCCGUUUCACCACGACUCAUAUCCUUCCAUUUUCUCCCCUUCUGAUGAUUCUUGUGCAGCAAUUUGUGAAGAUUUUUAUAUCGGGAAAUUAUUAAUCUGCUAAUCGCUAACCCUACAGAUUUUAAUUAAUUUCUCUACGGUAUCUUUUUAUUUUCUUAAAAUUUGGUGUUGUUGUAUUCUUAACUAUAAGUAACGAGGAAAUCAAAGGGAAAAGAUCGAGAAAGUGCUCAAGCUCGUAAUGCCAAAGGCAAAAUUAAAGAUGAUGGGUUGACCCCUGAGCAGCGUCGUGAAAGGUGCCCCUGUUUUGAUAUUAUGUUCUGAUUUUUACCAGAUUCUAUUUUUUCUUGUUUUAGUUUAAUUUUUUGAUAUGAUCUGAAUGCCAUGGUGAUUGUUGUAGUAUACAAUAUGGUGUUAUGCUUCAAGAUUUACCUAAUUCAUCGUGUUUCCAGCCUCGUUGAUUUGUAAAUAUCUGUAUUCAGUUGUAAUGUGUGAGAUUAAUUUUCUGUAGAGCCAGCCUUGUUCCUUGAUUGAUGUAUUGGUAUUUACUGAUAUGCAGAUUUGGAUUAUUCGUUUCUACAAAAAUGUGAUUAUGAUUGUUAGAUUUGAUUAUUAGGUGAAUUUUUGAACAAACAUGACGUAUUUUGUUAUUUUUUUUUUUUAAUUAAUCUAUUGACAUAUGGUAUCAUCCUUGCUAUUAGAUUUGACAUUUAGAUGAAUUUAUGUACAAAAGACAUUAUUUAUGAUUGAGAAAUAGUAUUGCUGUGGCUGCUGGAUUUAACAUUUAGAUGACGAUAAGUAGCUGGUGUGGCACACACCAAUUCAGUUAUUUCUUUGGUAGUUGGAUCUUUUAUCUAAUAAUAUCAUGCUUUCGUGUCUGCCCUUGUGAUCAAACAGAGACGCGAAGGCGCUUCAGGAGAAGACCGCGAAGAAGGCAGCUCAGGCGGCAGGGGGGUAGUGAUGCUGGAGGUAAGAGCAUCAAAAAAUAGGGAAUUCUCUGGUUGAUGAUUUUCUCGAUUCGAGUUAUUGUAACCCUCUCGUAAACUCUUCUGUGUUUUCAUAUGUAAUGGUGAACUAUCAUUCUAUGGCACUCUUUUCCAAUGAAGUAUAAGUGAAGAAAUACUACAAUUGUUAUCUAUUACUAUCUUUAAGGUUUUGAGUUUAGUUGCCGCUAGCAUAACAUGCAUAAUUUUGUUUGAUAUAUGUCUGAAAUAUAUAAGAUAAGGUUGAGUUUCUAUAUCUAGAGCAUGCUCGUAGAUUGUUGUGUGCUAGAACGGCUGACAAAUGGUGAUCGAUAUACUUAUGCUGUUAAAAACACACCUAAAAAAGUUGGUUUACUUUGAGUUGCAACACUGAAUGGCUGUCGUUGAUUUUAGAUACAUUCAUGGAUAAUUUCAGUUAGUAAACUUAGUUAUUUUUUACAUUCAUUUGUAUGCUAUUUCACAUGUCAGCUUUGAUUGGCUUCCAUGUUCAUAUGGUGUGAAAAAUAAAGGAGAACUGCUAUAUGAUUUUCAGUUAGUUAAAUACACAUUAUAUCAGUGUUUGAUGAUAUUAAACAGAGUGUUUCGACAAUAUAUGUAGUCUGGCAGGUAGAAAGGUGCAAGUAAAAGGAUCCAUCAUUCUUUAUUCUCUUUGAGCCAUACUUUUCUGAGUGAUUGUCUAGUUUACUUUUUUUAGCAUGAUAUCUUCUCAUAGUCACUUGGCUAAAUUUAUUGGACUUUAUCCUAAAAAACUAGCAAUAAGAUAAAACGAGUGCAAGUUUCCUUGUCUGGAGCGUGAUUGUAGAUUAUAGCCCAAUAUGUUGUGAUUGAAUACCAAUAAUAAUGUUCCUUCUAUAACUCUGCCUGGACUUGUAUAGUUGGUUUUCUAGUAGAGUAGAAUCACUUUUUGGCUGAUGCAACUUAUGACAAUUAACUCCUUCGUUUAAACAUUCAUAAUCGGUUCUGCUGAGCAGAUUCCAAUGGUUUCUAUGCUUGUAUAUAUAUAUAAAUAGAAAUAGAUAUAUAUAUAUAUAUAAAUUAAAUUAACAAUUCUACAAGGCAUGGAGUCUAACUGAGAAGAAAGAGACAAGACAAGUAUGAUAACUAGUGAAAGCUAUCAUUUCUCUAUUCUUGAAAGGAAUCUUAGGAACAAGACUUUUUUCUUUUGUUUUACUAAUAUGCGAUAUACGAUGGAUAUUUUCUGUUAGUAGUUUAGUUACAAUUUUGUUAGAAGCUUUGCUGAAUCUCAAAGGAAAGUGAAAUGUGAUACCUGGUUAAGUUUCUUUGUCUGGAGCUUGCUCACAGAUUCUAGGCUGUUAUGUUGUUAAUGCUGUGAAGUUUUUAGAGCUGAUUUUAUGUUGUGUAGCAGUUUCUUUGCUGAUUGUUAUGAUUAUUUCCCAAUUUUUUGGUUUGUGCUCUCAUGAGUAAGAUUGGAUCUUAUACAUGUUUUUGUUCUGUAAAGGGGCGUUCACUUGUGUUGAUAAAUUAUAUUUAUACUAAUAUUUAGGAAUUAGUAUUUGAAAAUUUGCAUAGAAUUAAAGUUGAACCCUUUUUUUUUCCAGACCAUUUUCAAUUAGGGCAAACUUAUCCAUUUAAUGAAAAAGUGGCUAUAGUUUGUAUGUUUUCGUAGUUUUGAUUAAUAAUAUCUUUACCAGACUAAAGUGGCCCAUUUUCAUAAUUGCCUCUUUUUUAUCUCUCACUAAACAAAUUGGUAGUUUUCACUAUUGGCUCUUAUGUUUAUCUAUCUAAGCUUUCACUCAUUGUAAACAUCUCCUUACCAUUGUGAAGUAUAUUAUUAGGCUCUAAACUUGCAAAACUGAAAAUGAUUAGUUUGUGAGAUUGGGGUCGAAAGAUUAAGGAGGUUCAACCUUAAUCAUCUAUCUGUUUUAAUGCAGUAAUGAUUUUUGUAACCUUAAGGAGGUUCAACCUUAACCCAUGUCGAACUCAUAGCCAAUGCGAUUGGCCAAGCUCUCGAGUCUCUUAUCAGUGGUACGGUUGAUUUCGCGAAGCACCUCACAUACACCACUCAGAUCUUCGCGUGCUUUGCGCUUUCUUCCACCAACUACACCAGUGUUCGUCUCCUUGCUGGUUCUCCCAAGGCUGCUUUGCCCUACAGUUUCCUCGACCAUUUCAGGGUCAGGUAUGUCGUCG